UACGGAGGGUGCAAGCGUUGCUCGGAAUUAUUGGGCGUAAAGGGUGCGUAGGUGGAAUGGUAAGUCAGUGGUGAAAGCCUGCGGCUCAACUGCAGAACUGCCAUUGAUACUGCCAAUCUUGAGUACAUAUGAAGUGGGCGGAAUGUGUCAUGUAGCGGUGAAAUGCUUAGAUAUGACACAGAACACCGAUUGCGAAGGCAGCUCACUAAACUGUAACUGACACUGAGGCACGAAAGCGUGGGGAUCAAACAGG
rnacentral:rRNA from 1 species